CUAAUUAAGGUAGGCCUCGUGGUCAGCUAUUAAUGUGACCGAGAAAAGAAGAAAACUCCUUUAAUUAACCUAUUCCUUCUAGCUAGAGAAAAGAGUUGUUUGAACAUCUUAUCUUCUAGCGACUGCAAUUUCAUGGCGGAUUGGGCUUCAUCAUCCUCCUCUGCUGCCUCUACAACUGGAUCCUCUAGUUACGAUGUGUUUCUCAGCUUUAGCGGCCAAAAUAAUCCCAAAAACUUCACCGCUUUUCUAAACUUAGCUCUGAAAAACCGGAGAAUCAUUGUCUGUACAGACGAUGAAAAUUUGUGGACUGGAGAAGCCAUUGGCCCUCCCUUUUUGGAGUGUUCCAAAAUCUCGAUCCCUAUCCUCUCUGAAUGUUACGUGAAGAGCAAAUGGUGUCUGCAAGAGCUUGCUCAGAUAGUUCAAUGCCAAAUAUCCAACAACCAAAAGGUCUUGCCCAUAUUCUUCAAUGUUGAGCCAUGGCACGUUCGGCAUCAGAUUGGAAGUCUUGAAGAAACGUUUCAAGAACAUGAGAAGAAUUUAGAGCCCCACAUCAUAGAGAGUUGGAGGGAAGCUUUGAGAGUGGUAGGGAGUUUGAAAGGAGUAGUUAUCGACAAAACUAAGUCUUCAUCCCACAAACUUCUUCUAAUGAUCACAUCCAUACUUCGUAUAUAAGGGAUGCAUAUUCCAAUUUCUCAUUAGUGUUUAUUUCUGAAUUCUUUCCAUUACAUCAAAAACUUAUAAUUUACAAGUUCUUAUUUUUUGACUUGAUAUUUUCAUCUUAUUAGUUGUUGUUUUUGUUCUUAUUGUGGUUUUUCUUUUGAUAUAAAAUGAUUGCAGGAUCAAGCGGAGUUAGUUGAAUUAAUUGUUAAAAAGGUUCUAGGUGAAUUGGCAACUUUCGACGUGGUUCUCAACUUCAGGGGUGAAGGCACUCACAAAAGCUUCACUGGACACCUCUACCAUGCUCUGAAAAGUCAAGGGAUACGUGCCUUUAUGGAUAGCUAUAAACUGUGGGAAGGAGAGGAGAUUGGGUUGCAGUUCUCAACAAAAUCAGAAGUUACAUCCAAACUCGAAGUUUGAGGAGCUAAUGCAAAUGGUGAAGACUUUCAAGGAAUUUGUCAUCAAUUCCAGUAAGCGCAUUACGAGCCUGGAGACGACCAUAUCUCAUCGAGAAGCUAGGAUAAUCAGGCUCGAGGAGGCAAUCGUAGGACGCGACCAGGAGAUUAAGAGGUUGAGGAAUGAGGUGGCUAGUCUCAGGUUGGGACCUUCGCAAUAGGAGUUGGUCACCAUGAGUUGAUCCGAUAGCUAGAAGAGUGUUUUCUCUCAGAGUUUGUCCUGUUAGUUCAAAGUUCUCUAGAUGAUCAUGAUUCAUGGAAUAACACUCAAAUGUAAACUAGUCUCCAAAUGGAUGAUCUUUUACACAAUUUGCUUCAAGGUGUGUUACUACUCAUCUACUCGGAAACUAAUUCACAUUUUAAUCUAUCUU